CCUACGGGGGGCAGCAGUGAGGAAUAUUGGUCAAUGGACGCGAGUCUGAACCAGCCAAGUAGCGUGCAGGAUGACUGCCCUAUGGGUUGUAAACUUCUUUUAUAUGGGAAUAAAACCGGGUAUGCAUACCCUCUUGUAUGUACCAUAUGAAUAAGGAUCGGCUAACUCCGUGCCAGCAGCCGCGGUAAUACGGAGGAUCCGAGCGUUAUCCGGAUUUAUUGGGUUUAAAGGGAGCGUAGGUGGAUUGUUAAGUCAGUUGUGAAAGUUUGCGGCUCAACCGUAAAAUUGCAGUUGAUACUGGCAGGCUUGAGUACAGUAGAGGUAGGCGGAAUUUGUGGUGUAGCGGUGAAAUGCUUAGAUAUCACGAAGAACACCGAUUGCGAAGGCAGCUUACUGGACUGCAACUGACACUGAUGCUCGAAAGUGUGGGUAGCAAACAGGAUUAGAUACCCGGGUAGUC
rnacentral:rRNA from 1 species